GCCGGUGUGGCGGAAUUGGUAGACGCGCUCGACUCAAAAUCCAGUUCUUUCACUAGAGUGUCGGUUCGACUCCGACCAUCGGUACCA
rnacentral:tRNA from 1 species